rnacentral:rRNA from 1 species
AAUGCCGUUUUCUUUUACUUGGGAGUCAGACUGUGGGUGAUAAGAUUCAUAGUCAAAAGGGCAACAGCCCAGAUCGUCAGCUAAGGUCCCUAAAUGUACGUUAAGUGGUAAAGGAUGUGGAAUUGCACAGACAACCAGGAUGUUGGCUUAGAAGCAGCCACUCAUUUAAAGAGUGCGUAAUAGCUCACUGGUCGAGUGAUUCUGCGCCGAAAAUUUCCGGGGCUAAAACUUACUACCGAAGCUACGGCAUCAUUAUGAUGGGUAGGGGAGCUUUCUAUGCGGCUUGAAGCAUGACCGUAAGGACAUGUGGACUGCAUAGAAGUGAGAAUGUUGGCAUGAGUAGCGAGAUGUGGGUGAGAAUCCCACAGGCCGUAAACCCAAGGUUUCCAGGGGAAGGUUCGUCCGCCCUGGGUUAGUCAGGACCUAAGCCGAGGCCGAAAGGCGUAGGUGAUGGACAACAGGUUGAUAUUCCUGUACCACCAAUAACCGUUUGAGAAAUGGGAUGACACAGUAGGAUAAGCUAACCGCACUGUUGGUUAUGUGCGGGCAAGUAUUGAGGCAGUUCCGAUAGGCAAAUCCGUCGGAAUAAUGCUGGGGUACGAUGCGGAGCGAAAUUUAGUAGCGAAGUAGCUGAUUUCACACUGUCGAGAAAAGUCUCUAUCGAGGUUAAAGGUGCCUGUACCGCAAACCGACACAGGUGGGUGAGGAGAGUAUCCUAAGGCCAGCGAGAGAACUAUUGUUAAGGAACUCGGCAAAAUGACCCCGUAACUUAGGGAGAAGGGGUGCCUGUCUAUGACAGGCCGCAGAGAAUAGGCCCAAGCGACUGUUUACCAAAAACACAGGUUUCUGCUAAGUCGCAAGACGAUGUAUAGGAGCUGACGCCUGCCCGGUGCUGGAAGGUUAAGGGGAUCUGUUAGAGCAAUCGAAGCAGUGAACUUAAGCCCCAGUAAACGGCGGCCGUAACUAUAACGGUCCUAAGGUAGCGAAAUUCCUUGUCGGGUAAGUUCCGACCCGCACGAAAGGCGUAACGAUUUGGGCACUGUCUCAACAACAGACUCGGUGAAAUUGUAAUACCGGUGAAGAUGCCGGUUACCUGCGACAGGACGGAAAGACCCCAUGGAGCUUUACUGUAGCUUGACAUUGAGUCUCGGUGCUACAUGUACAGGAUAGGUGGGAGACUAUGAAGCAUGGACGUCAGUCUGUGUGGAGUCAUCCUUGGGAUACCACCCUUGUAGUACUGGGAUUCUAACCAGAGGCCAUGAAUCUGGUCUUGGGACACUGUCAGGUGGACAGUUUGACUGGGGCGGUCGCCUCCCAAAAAGUAACGGAGGCGCUCAAAGGUUCUCUCAGUACGGUCGGAAAUCGUACGAAGAGUGUAAAGGCAAAAGAGAGCUUGAUUGCAAGACAUACAGGUCGAGCAAGGACGAAAGUCGGACUUAGUGAUCCGGUGGUUCCGCAUGGAAGGGCCAUCGCUCAACGGAUAAAAGCUACCCUGGGGAUAACAGGCUGAUCUCCCCCAAGAGUCCACAUCGACGGGGAGGUUUGGCACCUCGAUGUCGGCUCAUCACAUCCUGGGGCUGUAGUAGGUCCCAAGGGUUGGGCUGUUCGCCCAUUAAAGUGGUACGCGAGCUGGGUUCAGAACGUCGUGAGACAGUUCGGUC